rnacentral:rRNA from 2 species
UGGCUCAGAACGAACGCUGGCGGCAGGCCUAACACAUGCAAGUCGAGCGCCGUAGCAAUACGGAGCGGCAGACGGGAGAGUAACACGUGGGAACGUGCCCUUCAGUUCGGAACAACCCAGGGAAACUUGGGCUAAUACCGGAUACGUCCGUAAGGAGAAAGAUUUAUCGCUGAAGGAUCGGCCCGCGUCUGAUUAGCUAGUUGGUGAGGUAACGGCUCACCAAGGCGGCGAUCAGUAGCUGGUCUGAGAGGAUGAUCAGCCUCACUGGGACUGAGACACGGCCCAGAGACCUACGGGAGGCAGC